GUCUACGGCCAUAGCAACCCUCAAUGUGCCCGAUCUCGUCUGAUCUUGGAAGCUAAACGGGGUCAGGCCUGGUUAGUAUUUGGAUGGGAGAAAGAAAUUAUAUCUUUCUUCU
ensembl:rRNA 5S_rRNA 5S ribosomal RNA